AAAUUGAAGAGUUUGAUCAUGGCUCAGAUUGAACGCUGGCGGCAGGCCUAACACAUGCAAGUCGAACGGUAACAGGAAACAGCUUGCUGUUUCGCUGACGAGUGGCGGACGGGUGAGUAAUGUCUGGGAAACUGCCUGAUGGAGGGGGAUAACUACUGGAAACGGUAGCU
rnacentral:rRNA from 2 species